rnacentral:rRNA from 1 species
AAACCGCCCAGAGGUAAACGGGUGGAUCCGCAAAGUCGGCCCGCGGAAUUCAGCGCGGCGCGCAGACCUGGGCAGCCGUGGUUCGGGAUCCUUGGGACCCAACCGCGGUGUCGUUCGGGUCUCCGCCGCGUGCACUUUCCGUGGGCAGAGUGCCACAACCGGUUCGUUGGCGGCUAAAAGUCUGGAGGGUUGUAGGUGGGGGCGCUUGCGUCCCUACCAGCCCUUCUCGUGCGAGUCGUCGCUGGACCGAGGAAAAGCCGCGCGCUUCGAGGCCACCCUCCCCUCCUGGUGAGUUCGACUGGGAGAGACUGGGCAACCGUGUCUCCCGACCGCUCAUCUGUGAUCGGCGUGGGUCUGGCCGGGCGUGCAUUGUCUGUCAAGGUUGGUGGCAAGUAUGUCGGCAUUCCACCCGACCCGUCUUGAA